rnacentral:rRNA from 1 species
GACGAACGCUGGCGGCGUGCUUAACACAUGCAAGUCGAACGGAAAGGCCCUGCUUUUGUGGGGUGCUCGAGUGGCGAACGGGUGAGUAACACGUGAGUAACCUGCCCUUGACUUUGGGAUAACUUCAGGAAACUGGGGCUAAUACCGGAUAGGAGCUCCUGCUGCAUGGUGGGGGUUGGAAAGUUUCGGCGGUUGGGGAUGGACUCGCGGCUUAUCAGCUUGUUGGUGGGGUAGUGGCUUACCAAGGCUUUGAAGGGUAGCCGGCCUGAGAGGGUGACCGGCCAGAUUGGGACUGAGAGACGGCCCAGACUCCUACGGGAGGGAGCAGUGGGUAAUAUUGCACAAUGGGCGGAAGCCUGAUGCAGCAACGCAGCGUGCGGGAUGACGGCAUUCGGGUGGGAAACCGCUUUCGCCUGUGACGAAGCGUGAGUGACGGUAAUGGGUAAAGAAGCACCGGCUAACUACGU